AUUGAACGCUGGCGGCAGGCCUAACACAUGCAAGUCGAACGAGUGGCGGACGGGUGAGUAAUGUCUGGGAAACUGCCUGAUGGAGGGGGAUAACUCCUGGAAACGGUAGCUAAUACCGCAUACCAUCAGAUGUGCCCAGAUGGGAGUAGCUUGUUGGUGGGGUAACGGCUCACAAAGGCGACGAUCCCUAGCUGGUCUGAGAGUAUGACCAGCCACACUGGAAUUGAGACACGUUCCAGACUCCUACGGGCGGCAGCAGUGGGGAAUAUGGCACAAGUGGCGCAAGCCUGAUGCAGCCAUGCCGCGUGUAUGAAGAAGGCCUUCGGGUUGUAAAGUACGUUCAGCGGGGAGGCGUUAACCGCAGAAGAAGCACCGGCUAACUCCGUGCCAGCAGCCGCGGUAAUAC
rnacentral:rRNA from 1 species